AUGAACGCUAGCUACAGGCUUAACACAUGCAAGUCGAGGGGCAGCAUGGUCUUAGCUUGCUAAGGCCGAUGGCGACCGGCGCACGGGUGAGUAACGCGUAUCCAACCUGCCUUACACUCUUGGACAGCCUUCUGAAAGGGAGAUUAAUACAAGAUGUUAUCAUGAGUAAGCAUUUUCGCAUGAUUAAAGGUUUACCGGUGUAAGAUGGGGAUGCGUUCCAUUAGAUAGUAGGCGGGGUAACGGCCCACCUAGUCUUCGAUGGAUAGGGGUUCUGAGAGGAAGGUCCCCCACAUUGGAACUGAGACACGGUCCAAACUCCUACGGGAGGCAGCAGUGAGGAAUAUUGGUCAAUGGACGAGAGUCUGAACCAGCCAAGUAGCGUGAAGGAUGAAGGUUCUAUGGAUUGUAAACUUCUUUUAUACGGGAAUAAACGAAUCCACGCGUGGAUUUUUGCAUGUACCGUAUGAAUAAGGAUCGGCUAACUCCGUGCCAGCGGCCGCGGUAAUACGGAGGAUCCGAGCGUUAUCCGGAUUUAUUGGGUUUAAAGGGAGCGUAGAUGGGUUGUUAAGUCAGUUGUGAAAGUUUGCGGCUCAACCGUAAAAUUGCAAUUGAUACUGGCAGUCUUGAGUACAGUUGAGGUAGGCGGAAUUCGUGGUGUAGCGGUGAAAUGCUUAGAUAUCACGAAGAACUCCGAUUGCGAAGGCAGCUUACUAACCUGUAACUGACAUUGAUGCUCGAAAGUGUGGGUAUCAAACAGGAUUAGAUACCCUGGUAGUCCACACGGUAAACGAUGAAUACUCGCUGUAGGCGAUAUACAGUCUGCGGCCAAGCGAAAGCAUUAAGUAUUCCACCUGGGGAGUACGCCGGCAACGGUGAAACUCAAAGGAAUUGACGGGGGCCCGCACAAGCAGUGGAUUAUGUGGUUUAAUUCGAAGCAACGCGAAGAACCUUACCAAGUCUUGACAUCGUGAUGACCGGAACUUAACCGUUCCUUCCCUUCGGGGCAUCAUAGACAGGUGGUGCAUGGUUGUCGUCAGCUCGUGCCGUGAGGUGUCGGCUUAAGUGCCAUAACGAGCGCAACCCUUGCCGAUAGUUACUAACAGGUCAUGCUGAGGACUCUGUCGGGACUGCCAUCGUAAGAUGUGAGGAAGGUGGGGAUGACGUCAAAUCAGCACGGCCCUUACGUCCGGGGCUACACACGUGUUACAAUGGGGGGUACAGAGGGCUGCUACCACGCAAGUGGAUGCCAAUCCCAAAAACCUCUCUCAGUUCGGAUUGAAGUCUGCAACCCGACUUCAUGAAGCUGGAUUCGCUAGUAAUCGCGCAUCAGCCACGGCGCGGUGAAUACGUUCCCGGGCCUUGUACACACCGCCCGUCAAGCCAUGGGAGCCGGGGGUACCUGAAGUGCGUAACCGCAAGGAGCGCCCUAGGGUAAAACUGGUGACUGGGGCU
rnacentral:rRNA from 1 species